GAGAAGAACUUCAGCCCCAGGGCAGGAGCGGUUCAGUUCCCAGGAUGUGGCGCCGACAAGACCUGAGACCUCUAGUAAGGUUUCCAAAGAUACUCUGGGUCUGAAAGCCAGGACUGUCUGAGAGUCUGGAAUCAAGUCUGUAAGUCUGUCAGCCAGGACUGUCUGAGAGUGUUCUGGAAUCUAGGAAGUGGGCAAGGCUGCUUCAAGUAUCAAAAAGAGAUGCCAUACUUAAAGCAAAGGAUUGUUGGAUUUGAAUCUAUCUAAGAUAUCUACAAAUAA
rnacentral:lncRNA from 1 species